GUUGAAACAAUGGUUCUCGUCCGAUCGGCGAAGUUAAGCCACAUUGAGCCUGGUCAGUGCCUAGAUGGGUGACCACGCGUGAAUACCAGGUGAUGUAA